rnacentral:lncRNA from 1 species
GGCGCCCGUCUCGGGGGCAGGUCCGCGGGGUGUGACGAAUGUUCCCGCGGCGUCUCCCCGCCCUCCCCGGCGCCUCCCCCGGCCUCGGGCAGCCGCUUUCUGCACGGCACCUCCGAAGCCGCUGGGCGUCUGUAACCAACCUGCACGUUGUGCGCAUGUGCCCCAGAAAUUAAAGUAGAAUAAACAACAACAAAACCAAAAGACCUUUUUACUUUGACGCAGUUUUAGAUUCCCAGGACGUUGCACAGAAAAUCCGGACGGAUCCUGUGCCCUCCGCCCAGCUCCCGGGGUCACAGGCAGCCUCGGCUCCGACCCCGCCGGGCGCGCGGUGACCGGCUGUGCGGGUUCCAGGGGCGGAUGUGCGCUUUGCCCGGCCCCUCUCCCGCCGCGCGGCCGCUCCUCCUCUCCGCCAAGGGCCGGUUCAGGCACAGGCCCCGCCGAGGCUGCCCCUGACUUGAGGGCUCACGCACCGGGCUGCUUGCGGCUCUGGACUAUUGUGAAUAAGGCCGGUACCUCAGCACAGCUCUGCACCUCGGAGGACUCGGGGAAGUUUCUGGGCCUAUUUGGGCAAUAGGAGAAGGUCAUGGGCUGUCUUUCCAAAAUUCACGUCCACCCAGAACCCCCGAAUGAGACCUAUUUAAAGAGAAGGCCUUAGCUGAUGGAACAUUAAGAUGAGGCCACCCUGGAGCAGGGUGGGCCCUGAAUCCGAGGCUGCUGUCCCUGCAAGGUGACGAGAGGGUGCAGGCGUGGAGGAGACACAUGGGGGUGGGGUGAGGAACAGGCCACCGGCAGCAGAGACGGGUCAGGCCCAGCGAGGGAGGAGGUGGGAGGAGCCCCGGAGCCCUCGGAGGAAGCCGGGCUGGCACCUGGGCCUUGGACUCUGGGACUGUGAGGGAAUCAAUUCUGCCAUCUGAAGCCACCUGCUGUGGUCCUGUGUUACAGCAGCGCUGGGCACAAACAUGGGAGGGCCUCGUGAUUGGGACUGGGGCAUUCACAGGCCCGGCAGGCUGGUGAGCCGGUGCCUGGCAGGUGGGGAGGACAUGGUGUGAGAGGCGGCCUGCGGGCCGGCCAGUGAGCUCCAGCACGGGGACUGGUCACCAGCCAGUGAGCUCCAGCACGGGGACUGGUCACCGGACAGCAGUGUCAGCGUGGACGGUGAUCCCUCUAGAAGCCCUCCUUGUGUCUCGGGCCGGAAGCUAGGCACUGCACGCGCUCGGGAAUGGGCCGCUGCUGUGAGGGAGAGCGCCCGCUGUGCAGUGGGUGUCAAAUGAAUAUUAAUAAACAAAAGAGCCAAUUAUCCUUCGUUGCAGACAAGUUUCUUUGCAGAAAAUUUAGGAAAUACAAGAAGCAAAUAAAAAAAUCAAAACCACCCAGGAAUAUAACAGUUAUGAUGUGCUUUUUUCCUAAUCUUCAAAGCAAAGCUUUGGAGCCUGUAUUAUUUCUUGUUUGAAUUAAAUGCAGUUCAGAAGGAGAAAGUAAUUUCCCCAAAGCUGCCCAGUGAGGAGAGGGCGCCCAGGUGUGUCUGCUGCUGCCCCUCUCUGCAGACCCCAGAGCUGUCCCUGCAGCCCUCUCAGAGGGGGCCCCCGCCCUGGAGUCUGCCCUUCACCUUCCCCUUGCUUCGACCAGAGCUAAACUUGCCUGUGAUGACGAGGGAGUGUUUGGGAGACCCCCACGCUCUGUGUGGUUGGGCCCCUGGUCAACACCAGCCCGGCCUGCACCCCUGCUGGGGCCCUUCGAGGCUGCCCCGCUCCUGGGGACAGGCCCCCCCCGCAUGCUGCUUCCUGUAGGACCCACUCUUGAAGUCGGUCUGAGCCAUAAAUGAGACUCAUCAGGCAAUGGGCAUUUUUAUUAGAGGCAAAAUUAAAUUCGGAUGCCCAGGAUCUCUAUCAAGAGCAGAGAAAGGAGAAGAAUGACGUGUGUAUUUGUUCACUGCUUCCACCAGGAGCGCCUGCUCCCGCACCGGCCGCUCCGAGCCCCGGUCAUCGGGCUGGGGGAGUGCCUGCACCCGUACUGGCUGCUCCGAGCCCCUGUCGAGGGGCUGGGCCAGGUGAGGCGGAGCAGCCAUAGGCUUCCCUCAGUGGGAGGGAACACUCACCUCCCUGAAGGGUGGGAGUUCUACUGAGGAUUCGAGAGUAAUUUUCCAGGUGUCAGGUUUUCUGUGGGAUCCUGUGUGGGCUAUGAACCAGCCAGCUUUGACUUGCCUGUCAAUUUGCCUAAUGAAUUGGUGUGUGAGCGAGCCGAGUUUGCACCUGCCAUCCUCUUGGUCUAAACUACAGGCACUGCACGUUGCAAGAUAAGGGACGUUGCACAUCCUUCACCUGGGAAACUUCUGGACUCCUAACUUCACCUGGGAAACUUCUGGACUCCUGUGAGUCUGGCUGGGGGUGGGGGGGGUCCCUGGCAAGCCACUCACUUUUGGGGCCUCACUCACUGCCCGUGUUUUGCCUCCAUGAUCUUAGAAUUUUGGCAAGAUCUGGACUAGACAGAGGGCUGAGGCUUGGGCUGGGGUUGGGAGAAUUCUCUGCUGAGAACAGAGAAACUGGGACCCCUCAGGGCUUCUUACAGGAACAGGAAGCAACGACUGGGGAGUCCCAGAGGAAGGCGUUGAGCAGAGGGGCCGUGUGGUGGGUGGGCACCCCAGCAGGCAGGGUGCUGGGGGAGGAACAUGAGCCCCUGCGGGCUUUGGAAAGAGCAGUGAAGUACAGCCCCAUUGCCUCUGCCCAGGGCUAGCGGAAAGUGAAGUGUUCCCAGCCCCAUUGCCUCUGCCCAGGGCUAGCGGAAAGUGAAGUGUUCCCAGCCCCAUUGCCUCUGCCCAGGGCUAGCGGACAGUGACGUGUCCCCGCAGGCUGAACUCCGACUGGUGACAACGGGUCAGCGUCCUCACUCCCUGGAGACUCGGAGCCUGGACUUGCCAAAUUUGGCACCUGCCCAUUUUUUUUUUUUUUCUUUGAGAUGGAGUAUCACUCUGUUGCCCAGGCUGGAGUGCUGUGGCUCGAUCUCGGCUCACUGCAACCUCCACCUCCCAGGUUCAAGCUAUAUUCUGCCUCAGCCUGCUGAGUAGCUGGGAUUACAGGUGCCUGCCACCAUGCCCAGCUAAUUUUUGUAUUUUUAGUAGAGAUGGGAUUUCACCUUAGCCAGGAUGGUCUCAAUCUCCUGACCUCAGAUGAUCCACCCACCUCAGCCUCCCAAAGUGCUGGGAUUAUAGGCGUGAACCACCGUGCCUGGCCUUUUAAAAAAAAAAUUUUAGAUUCAUGGGUACAUGUGUGGGUUUGUUAUGUGGGUAUAUAGCUUGAUGCUGAGGUUUUGGCUUCUAACGAUCCCAUCACCCAGGGAGUGAACGCAGCUCCCAACAGGUGGUUUUCCAGCCCUCGUCCUCGUCCUCCUCCCCCUCCCACCUGCCCCUCUGGAGUCCCUGGCGUCUGCUAUUCCCUCUCUGCGUCAUGUGCAUGCAGCAUUCAGCUCCCAUGGAUAAGUGAGAACACGUGGUUUUGGUUUUCUGUUCGGGUUGAGUUCUCAGGCUGACGGCCUCCAGCUGCAUGUGUGGCUGCAGGGGACGUGCUCUCCUCCAUUUUCCCGGCUGCAUCGAGUUCAUGGUCUGUCUGCACACGUGAGGCCACCUGCCAGGCCACAUCCCAGCACAGGCGUCAUCCAGUGAUUUCCUCAUCGGCCAGAGUCUGCGUCUGCAGCUUUGUGAGCCACGCGGCCAUGGCCUGACUCUGUGCCGAGAGCCCCGCAGCGGUGGCCACAGACAAUAGAUGGAGUGCACUGGUGUGAUCUCAGCUCAACCUCCGCAUCCCAGGCUCAGGUGAUCCUCCUGCCUCAGCCUCCCGAGCAGCUGGGAAUACGGGCAUGCCCCACCAUGCCCGGCUAAUUUUUGUAUUUUUUGUAGCGACAGGGUUUCGCCACGCUGCCCAGACUGGUCUCAAUUCCUGGGCUUAAGUGAUCUGUCUGCCUUGGCCUCCCAUCGUGCUGAGAUGACAGGCGUGAGCCACUGCACCCGGCCCAGGCUGUUUUCAAUUCCCCGUGUUCUGCUACCUUCCAGGUGGGGCGGGCUGGGAGGCCUCUUCUAGAGGGGCCCUCAGGCUGCUCCAAGCCCUGGAAUGCAGCCCUGGUGGCCUCAGAACACCCCAGCAGGCUGGACCCGUGCCUCUGCCCCAGGGUGUAGGGUCCGGGUGGCCUGGGGUCGUCCCCUUGGGAGCUGCAUGGGUGGCCGCUGCUACUCCUACCUGGGAGGACAUCCCGUGGCAGGGGUAGAGGAUCGCCCGGUCGCCGUCCUCCGCUCCCUGGUCCAGACAGUAGGCACUGGCUUUGCUGUUUCUCACCUGCAAGCAGAAGCCCCAGGAGAAAGUCCAGAGUCACCCGAGGGUGCGGCCCCAGGGAGCUUCACGCAGCCAGCUCUGCAGCCAGCACCUAAGGAGGAACCCUGACAGCCCUCUGAGAACAAGCCCGGGCCAGACUGCUGGGGGAUGUGUUGUCAUCGGGCAGCCAACCUCCAGCCUCCAGAACAGGCCCAUCGGAGAUCAGCACAGCCUGGAUCAGGCCAGCAGCACUGCCUGGGUGGCCCCGGCUCGUGAGCAAGUGUAGAUGCUUAUUGCUUUUGUCCACCGCGUCUCCAGGCUGCUGGGUUUGCAGCAGCAGCUGACCCAUCCACCACGGCCACCACGAGAGGUCACACAGGUACCACUUGAAGCUGCGACACUUCAGCCUCUGACGCAGGGCCAGCCUCUCAGACACGUCCCCGAAGUCCACCCCUGGGUUCUGCAAGGCCAGAAGUAGGUGAGAGGAGGGUCUGAGGCAGCUGCUCCUGAUGGGAAGGACCCUGCCAGAGGCCAGCCCCGGCCUGGACAGACGGCCCCUGCUGCAGCCGGCUCGUCCACACCCACCCGGGCCCAGGAACCUCCUGCCUGAGAAGACGGCCCUGCUCACCUGGCCUUACUGCACGGCAUCAGCCUGACCUCUGGAGGGUGGAGACUGAGGUCAGCCAUAUCCAGAGACCAGCCUGGUGAGGACCCUGGAUACUGAGGCUUGGGGGCUCCUGGCUGGCCCCGCCUGGCACGUGUUGUCACGCAUGGGUGCCGGAGAAUCAAGUCCUUGGGACCCCCCGCGGGGGGACACCUGAGAGCUUGUACCUGGCCUUUCCUGGUCCCUGCCCAGGCGUCUCUUCCCUCUGCUGACUUUGACCCGUGUCCUCUGCCGUGAGAACCCACAGCCGAGUGCGGUGUCUGUGUCUUCCUGGGACUGUGGGGCCUGAGAGGCUGUAGGGACCAGCACUCUCUGACGGACAGCCAGCCCUGAGGGAGCACCUGCACCCUGCCCAGGGACCCUCCAGGCUCAGGCCUUGUGGGGAGGGCAGACGACUUGGCCUUCACGGCCUGGGCUUGAAUCCCGUCACCUUCUGGCCUGAGUAGGACAGAAAGGCCGAGGCAGGGAGUGUUCACACACUCUGCUCGAUUCGGGCUGGGACGUGGGUCCUCCCCUGCCUUCAGGCUUGGAGCUCACGCCACCGGCUCUCCUGGGCGCCUGCCAGCCGACGGCCAAUCUCGGUACCCUCAGCCCCCGUAACCGGGUGAGUCAAUUCCUUAGAUGAACUUUCACAGCUAAGCCCACGUCCCCACCAUCUGCUAUUAAUCUGUUUCCCUGGAGAGCCCUGAGCCAGCCCCGUCCCAUCCUAUCCUACCCUAUCCUGUGCUGUCCCAUCCCAUCCACCCCAUUAAAAAAAGGCCGAUGCCACCCACGGGCUGACAUCACUAUGAACAAAUGGGUCUGAUCCACGUGGCCCAAGCUCCGCCGUGCUCAGGUCCUCAGCCCUGAGCCUGCCAUGCUGGACGAGUGUGCCAGGCCCAGGGCGGGCACUGUGCUUGCCUCAUCUCCUGAAUCCCCCCACCACCCGAGAAAGGGUGGGCAGCCCUGGCAUUGCCCCGUUCCCUCCGCGGUGCUGAGAAGGUGCCGAGGCCGAGGGUGGUGCCAACUGCAGGGGCGCACGGGGUGGAGCCUCUGCCCAGCUGAGCUCGGAUCCCUCAGUCAUCCCUGGACUCUGGUUCAUCCUCGUCCAGGCUGCUCUCAUCUCCAGGCCGUUAUCUUAAUCAUGUCUGCAAAGAUCCCUUUUCCCAAAGAGGGCCACACUCACACGUCCCCUAGCUGCAUCCUCCGGGGGUCGCCUGUCAGCCCAGCCC